AACGAACGCUGGCGGCAGGCUUAACACAUGCAAGUCGAACGCAUCGCAAGAUGAGUGGCAGACGGGUGAGUAACGCGUGGGAACAUACCCUUUUCUACGGAAUAGCUCUGGGAAACUGGAAUUAAUACCGUAUACGCCCUACGGGGGAAAGAUUUAUCGGGGAAGGAUUGGCCGGCGUUGGAUUAGCUAGUUGGUGGGGUAAAGGCCUACCAAGGCGAGGAUCCAUAGCUGGUCUGAGAGGAUGAUCAGCCACAUUGGGACUGAGACACGGCCCAAACUCCUACGGGAGGCAACAGUGGGGAAUAUUGGACAAUGGGCGCAAGCCUGAUCCAGCCAUGCCGCGUGAGUGAUGAAGGCCUUAGGGUUGUAAAGCUCUUUCACCGAUGAAGAUAAUGACGGUAGUCGGAGAAGAAGCCCCGGCUAACUUCGUGCCAGCAGCCGCCGUAA
rnacentral:rRNA from 1 species